AUUGAACGCUGGCGGCAUGCCUAACACAUGCAAGUCGAACGGUAACAGGCCCUCGGGUGCUGACGAGUGGCGGAUGGGUGAGUAAUACUUAGGAAUCUACCCUGUAGUGGGGGACGAACCCGGGGAAACGUACGGGCUAAUACCGCAUACGCUCUACGGAGGAAAGCGGGGGACCGGCAAGGCCUCGCGCUAUUGGAUGAGCCUAAGCCCGACUUAGCUAGUUGGUGGGGUAAUAGCCUACCAAGGCAAUGAUCGGUAGCUGGUCUGAGAGGACGACCAGCCACACUGGGACUGAGACACGGCCCAGACUCCUACGGGAGGCAGCAGUGGGGAAUAUUGGACAAUGGGCGAAGACCUGAUCCAGCGAUGCCGCGUGUGUGAAGAAGG
rnacentral:rRNA from 1 species